rnacentral:rRNA from 1 species
UACAGAGGAUGCAAGCGUUAUCCGGAAUGAUUGGGCGUAAAGCGUCUGUAGGUGGCUUUUUAAGUCCGCCGUCAAAUCCCAGGGCUCAACUCUGGACAGGCGGUGGAAACUACCAAGCUGGAGUUCGGCAGGGGAGACUGGAAUUCCUGGUGUAGCGGUGAAAUGCGCAGAUAUCAGGAGGAACACCGGUGGCGAAGGCGGGUCUCUGGGCCGAUACUGACGCUGAGGAGCGAAAGCGUGGGGAGCAAACAGG